GGCCUCAUAGCUCAAUUGACUAGAGCGUUGGCUGUAAAUCUUCCCCUUAUUGUCAUGGGUUAGAAUCCCACUGAGGCCG
rnacentral:tRNA from 1 species